GGAACGACAGAAGAAGUACUGAGUCGGCCCAAAGAGGAAACGACAGAAGAAGUACUGAGUCUGCCACAAGAGGAAACGACAGAAGAAGUACUGAUUCUGCCACAAGAGGAAAUGACAGAAGGAGUACUGAGUCUGCCACAAGAGGAAAUGACAGAAGGAGUACUGAGUCGCCACAAGAGGAAACGACAGAAGAAGUACUGAUUCUGCCACAAGAGGAAAUGACAGAAGGAGUACUGAGUCUGCCACAAGAGAUGACAGAAGAUCUACAAGCACAGGGAAAGAAAAAAGGAAAACGAAACGGAGCCGCAGUAGAUCAUCUUCCUCAUCCAGCUCAUCAUCCUCGUCAUCCUCCUCAUCCUCAUCCCGCUCUUCAUCCCGCAGUAGGAGUAGUUCCAGCAACAGUGAUUCCCACAGCAAAUCCAGAAGGAAUUCUAAGAAAAGGAAAAAGGAAAAACAACACAAGAAGAAAGGGAAAAAGGAGAAGAAGCAUAAACGAAAGAAGGACAAGAAAAUGACACCAGAGGAGGAAAGCGCUGGACCUGGACCUAUUCAGAUCUCCAAGUAUUUAAAGGAGAGGAGGAGAAAAAGCAAGUACAGCAUGAUCACAGGAAAGAAGAUCAAAAUGAAAUUGAAGAAGUCCAAGAAAGACAAACUGAGGGACAAGAAUCGCGCCGAACUGCUCGAGUUCCUCAACUCCACGUUGUAAUGCAAAGGCCGUCACCGUUGGUUAUGUUCCAGAACCUUCCAAUUUUUGUCCAGAACAGAACUCAGGGAAAGACGACCCUUUUGAUUAAGCUCUGAACUAACAUCCAUUUACAGGGUUAUUAUUAUCACUGCAAGAGAUGUGGGACAUGGCCUGUUAUCUCAAAAUGACAGAAUGUGCCAUGUCUCUCUUUUAGAAAAAGCGUGCUGUCACUCCUGUGGUUGUCGGCCCCUUUCUUCAGACCAGUGGAGACUGCUGAAGGGAGAACAGCUCAUAAUAAUGGCUGGAACGGAGCCAAUGGAAUGGAAUCAAACCAUGUGUAUUCGAUGCCAUUCCA